GAUGAACGCUGGCGGCGUGCCUAAUACAUGCAAGUCGAGCGAACAGACGAGGAGCUUGCUCCUCUGACGUUAGCGGCGGACGGGUGAGUAACACGUGGAUAACCUACCUAUAAGACUGGGAUAACUUCGGGAAACCGGAGCUAAUACCGGAUAAUAUAUUGAACCGCAUGGUUCAAUAGUGAAAGACGGUUUUGCUGUCACUUAUAGAUGGAUCCGCGCCGCAUUAGCUAGUUGGUAAGGUAACGGCUUACCAAGGCGACGAUGCGUAGCCGACCUGAGAGGGUGAUCGGCCACACUGGAACUGAGACACGGUCCAGACUCCUACGGGAGGCAGCAGUAGGGAAUCUUCCGCAAUGGGCGAAAGCCUGACGGAGCAACGCCGCGUGAGUGAUGAAGGUCUUCGGAUCGUAAAACUCUGUUAUUGGGGAAGAAAAAAUGUGUAAGAAACUAUGCACGUCUUGACGGUACCUAAUCAGAAAGCCACGGCUAACUACGUG
rnacentral:rRNA from 1 species